GAAAAGUCCAGAAACCCUCUGCCCAGAGCUCUUCCCUCCUCUCCUUCUGUCUCGCCAGUUCUGGCGUGUUCCAGAUUGGGUAAGCAAUCGUUUGUGGAAAAACCAAGGGAAACCAAGCCAACCGAAGCCAAACCCACCAGCUAAGGGAAAGUGUUAGUGAAGAAAUCUCUGAUUCGUGAGCCAUAGUUGAGGAGAUAUCACCCCACAAUUAAGAGUCCUUUUUAGUAAUUUUGCAGGUAUUGUGUAAGCUCGGAUGUGGAUUACAGAUGUGAUUGAGGAAGGAAUAAUUUUGCUGAAAUGUUUUGAGGCCAUCAAAGAUUAUGAUAGGUUAAGAUCUCUUGUGUAUUUAUAUUUGAUUAUAAGGGAUAAUUCAGGUUUUAUUUUGUAAAUUGGAUUCUAAGUGUAAUUAGUGAGAAAUAAGUAAUUAUAAAUAAGCAGCUCAAAAGUGUGGGCUGUUACAAAUGAUGUCUUGGCCAAUUGUCCUAGUGGUUAAGACUGAGGGUCUGUGUACAAUAGGUUUCAGCUUAGAAUUUCCCUGCUCCCAUUUGUAAUUUAUAUUGCUCUUGUGGCUCAUUCAUACCAAAAUAUAAUCCACACACGACUUAUA